GUAGGGUUUUUAAAAAUAUAUGUGGCUUUACAGUUUUGUCAAAAUGAAUUGAUAAUGUUUUUGGAAAUCAUAAGAGCUAUUUGCCAGAUAGCAAUUUUGCAUCUAAAAUUGAGUAGUGAUGACUAAUUAAGUUAAGUGACUACAGACUCUGUGGGCCAAAGAAAAUUUGGGGAUUAAAUGGCCUAAUUACAUCUCUGUGUGCCUGUGCCUUCAAGUUGCUUGUUAAUUCAGGGUGACUUCAUUAAUUUCAUGAGGUUUUCUUAGCCAAAGAAUGCUCAGAGAUGAUUUCCAAGUGCCUUCCAUUGGAUAUAGCUUACAGCACCUGAUAUUUAUUGGUAAUCCAACUUCCAAGUACAAACCAGAAGUGACUCUGCUUAUCUUCCAUCGAUGACUUCAGAAUACUUUAGACUUAGUCUAAAUGACUAAAAUUGUAAAGACAUACCCAUUAAGAAAGCAUUUGAGUGCAGAUUUUAGAUUAUUAAAAAGGCAAUGGGAACUAGCUCUUUAGAUACGUACAUAAUACUACAAUUAAACAUGUACACAUAUAUAUUAGAACUUCCACAGGCCAGAACUUCUUCAUGACCUCAAAAUAAGAGGCUAUUCAAGGUAGAUCCAUUAUUUUAAAUAUUUUUAAAGCCAAAUAUAUUUUUUUACCUGCAGCAAAACAAACAAAACCCUAAUGUUUUGUAUUUAACAGAUAUUUUUUCACUCUUUAAUUUAUUCUAGGUUACUGUAGGUAAUUUGCAAAUUACACAAUGAAACAUGGUUUUUGUUCCUGGAUUAUAAAUGUUGUUUCCUAAUUGGUUCUGUCAUAAAACUUGGAAAACUAUAGCACAUUUUGCUAUAGUUUUUAAUGGAUGUUUCAUCAAGUCUCAACCAAUUCAACAUAUGUUGUUGAAGGCUUUCAUGGCCGGGAUCACAGGGUUGUUGUAUGCCUUUCGGGCUGUGUGGCCAUGUUCCAGAAGUAUUCUCUCCUGACGUUUCACCAACAUCUAUGGCAGGCAUCCAUAUUCUCAGGAUUGUUUAAUACUUUGUAAGUAAUUCAUAAAACUAAUGAUUUCAAGUUUCUUUGCUUUCUUUGUAAAUAAAAUCUGUAUCUAAGCUAUUUACAAGUGUAUACAGGCAUAAGAUAAAAUUGCCAGAAUUCAAGUAAUACCUGCCCAAUUGUGCAAUGUGAAUAGUAUAUCUUCCUCUCCUUUUUUUCCCCCUUUCUCCUUCCACCAUUCAGCUUAGGUUUUCACCAACAACCCCACCCCCAUUCCCUGAUAAUUCAAGAUUCAAACAUGAGAUCAGCAAUGGGUCUUAUGAGACAAGGAAGGGUAGAGCCUGAAUGAACUGGGUAUAGUGAAAAUAUUUAGCUAAAAAAACCCACCAGAAUCUUGGUAGAUUGAGGAACAAUUCUUCUAAACAAGUCAUAGCCAAGAGAAAAAAAUAUUUGUUCAAUGGCCAAUGAGACUGUGACAUACACCAAGUAGGUGCUGUCAUUGCUGCCAUUCCCACUAGUGAUUGCAUCCUACAUAAUCUUAGCUAAAGCAAAUGUGAUUUUUUUUCCAGACCUUGGAUUACUACAGUGAUGUAUAAAAUGUUCAUUUUCAUUUCAUAAGAAUGUAAAUAGCUUGGCCCUCUUAAGCCCUAUCUGCAACUAUCAGCAACAUUGGGACCAGAGCUCUAGGCUUCUGAGAAGCCUGUCUUCACUUAUUAAUCUAAUCACACAAUGUCACAGGAUAACUCAAUGCAUUAGUGCAGAGUUUCAGAUGUUUAGGUUUCAUAGUCCUGAAGCUAUUCUAUUUUAUUUCUUGCUGAUUAUUCCAGUUGUGAGCAUUGGUAGUCAAAGACUUGUGCUAUCAAACAUUGACCGAGACUCUACAUCAUAGUUUACAGUUUGUCAUAUAGUUGUUUUUAACUUGAAAGGGUAUUUUUAUCUAUGCAGAAAGAGACUAUUCAUUGCUGACCAAUUAUGGAAUAACAAGACUAAUCACGAGCUUUCCACCCUCACUUGCUGGGGGUGGAUGGAGAUUUGUAAGUAAGUAAGUAAGUAAAACUUUAUUUAUAUACCACUCUCUCUCCCCGAAGGGACUCAGGGCGGUUUACAAGCAUAAAAACAGCAACAUACAUUACAAGAAACACAUUAUUAAACAAAAAUAAAGACCCAUACAACUCGUAAAACAGUGAAGACCAUAAGAAACAAUCACAACAACCAGAAGGAACAAGAAUACAUAAUUAGAUGGGUUGAAAUGGACCGUUAUUAGGGAUAGAUCAUCCUUGUACAGCAUGUUUACGGGCCAGGGGUCGGAAGUACACCUGAGAAAAUUAUUCAAAGACCCUCCGGAACCACCAGGUUUUCAACUCCUUGCGAAAGGAGGACAGAGUAGGGGCUUGCCUAAUCUCCUUUGGCAGGAGAUUCCAGAGCCAGGAGGACACUACUAAGAAGGCCCGCUCCCUCGUCUCCACCAGACACGCUUGGUACAAAGAUGGGAGUGAGAGAAGGGCCUCCCCGGACGAUCUCUGGGCCCGCGAUGGUUCAUAGGGGGAGAUGUGAUCAUGGAGAUAGGCAGGACCCGAGCCGUAUAAGGCAACCUCUGAUGAGUGAAAUCACAAGGAAAAUAGUCCUCUAGGACUAUUUUCGAAGGUGGACUUGCUCAGCCA
rnacentral:lncRNA from 1 species